rnacentral:rRNA from 1 species
UGUGCCACUGUCGCAGAUGGAUGAGCCUGCGUUGGAUUAGCUAGUUGGUGGGGUAAGGGCCUACCAAGGCUACGAUCCAUAGCUGAUUUGAGAGGAUGAUCAGCCACAUUGGGACUGAGACACGGCCCAAACUCCUACGGGAGGCAGCAGUGAGGAAUAUUGGACAAUGGGGGCAACCCUGAUCCAGCAAUGCCAUGUGUGUGAAGAAGGCCUUAGGGUUGUAAAGCACUUUAGUUGGGGAAGAAAGCUUUGAGGUUAAUAGCCUUGAGGAAGGACGUUACCCAAAGAAUAAGCACCGGCUAACUCCGUGCCAGCAGCCGCGGUAAUACGGGGGGUGCAAGCGUUAAUCGGAAUUACUGGGCGUAAAGGGUCUGUAGGUGGUUUGUUAAGUCAGAUGUGAAAGCCCAGGGCUCAACCUUGGAACUGCAUUUGAUACUGGCAAACUAGAGUACGGUAGAGGAAUGGGGAAUUUCUGGUGUAGCGGUGAAAUGCGUAGAGAUCAGAAGGAACACCAAUGGCGAAGGCAACAUUCUGGACCGAUACUGACACUGAGGGACGAAAGCGUGGGGAUCAAACAGGAUUAGAUACCCUGGUAGUCCACGCUGUAAACGAUGAGUACUAGCUGUUGGAGUCGGUGUAAAGGCUCUAGUGGCGCAGCUAACGCGAUAAGUACUCCGCCUGGGGAACUACGGCCGCAAGGCUAAAACUCAAAGGAAUUGACGGGGACCCGCACAAGCGGUGGAGCAUGUGGUUUAAUUCGAUGCAACGCGAAGAACCUUACCUGGUCUUGACAUCCUGCGAGCUUUCUAGAGAUAGAUUGGUGCCUUCGGGAACGCAGUGACAGGUGCUGCAUGGCUGUCGUCAGCUCGUGUUGUGAAAUGUUGGGUUAAGUCCCGCAACGAGCGCAACCCCUAUUGAUAUUUACCAUCAUUAAGUUGGGUACUUUAU